CACUGGCCAGUGUUCAACAACGCAAAUACACAAAGAUGCGACACAGAAAAAGACACAGAACAGUGCUCAGCAGGGCAAAGUGCUCUGUGAAAUCUGCUUCAUGUGUUUCAGGACUGUGCCAGGGUUAAAGAGGCAUAAAGCAAUGAAGCAUUUGGUUAAAGCUGAAAAACACACUGGCCCACAGAGUGCACCAUCAAGCCAUCAGGGGAGUGCGCUUAUUUAUGAAGCAUCACAAACUACAGAGAAAAAACAUAAAGAUGAUUCACAGACCUGUUACCCAACAAAAAUAGAUGGCCUGCCUGAGAUAAGUAGUACUCUCAUAUCUAAAGCAGCAGAGACCGAAUCCAUCCUGGAGGAAAUGGCAAGUGAGACAAGUGCAGUGGCAGUAGAUGAAAUAGGCUAUCAAAGCCCAAUGCUGUCAGUAAAAGCAAAGAAGAACAACAAAGCUAGAAAGAACAAGAACAGUGAGGUAAACAAAAAGCCUAGCCAUCUCUCUGAUGAGCUUCUGAAUAUAUUAAAAACAGACAUACUUCAAGCUAUAACUCCUGAAUUCAAAAGCAGCGCAGAGCGCAGCCAAUCUUCUGAGGAACAGGAGAAAACCAGUGAAAGAACUGAGGAAUUCCCUCACUGUGCUGCUUCAGAGCCUGCUUUUGACAACACAGCCCGAUCUCCAACAAAAGAGACAAAUGUACUUAAUGAAACUGUGGAGAUCAAUCAAAUUGCUGAUACAGAAGAAACAAAACGUACGAGUAUCACAGAGAUGGCAAAUUUGGAAGUGUGUACGGAUAAUAAUGUGGAAAGUACUAUAGCUGUAGACAAGGAGGUUAUCAGAGAAUGUGAUGAUACCAGAAGGACCCUGCACCCCGUUGAAGACAUGUGUGAACUGAAAGGAUCAGAAGAUAGCCUUGCCCAGGAGAUCCUUAGAAAUGUGGCAGGCGAGAUAAAAUGUGAGAAAAGCAGUAGCCCUUCAGACAAAGUACAUCCUCUCUCCUGUUUGAAC
rnacentral:lncRNA from 1 species